GAAAAAGUAACUCAAAUGGUAGAGUACUGGUUUGUCGUACCAGUGGCCGCGGGUUCGAAUCCCGUCUUUUUCG
rnacentral:tRNA from 2 species